rnacentral:sRNA from 1 species
GCCGCUCGACGAUAGACGCAAUUCUGCGC